rnacentral:misc_RNA from 1 species
UCGGAGGAAGUUAAGGAGGGAGCGAAGGCCACGGAAGCGGAGGAAGGAGAAUUCGGCGCGAGCGUCUCGGAUGCUGGUACGAAUAGCGAGAGUGACUUCUCUGUACAAUCUCUGCUUGUUCAAAGAGUUAACCAACUCCUCCACCGCCGUGGCCGACGCUUGUGCCUGAGGAUCUGCUUCCCUUGAGCUAUCCUUCAAACCAGAGCUCGAUAACGGCUUUUUCAGAUGCAUCGCUGUGUCUGCGCUCGGUUGCAUCCAGGCGCAUUUCGCUGUAUAAGUUUUCUUGAGUUCCGCCGAGUUGUAAUGCUAUGGAGAUUUUUU